CGACUGCAGAGCUCAUGGACAUCCAUCAGGAAGCCUCCAAUACCCAAACCAGGGGUAGUUGCCUAAUCCAUAUCCAUGUGGAUAGCUCUUUACUUAGGAAACCUUGAUGGCUUAUUUGGAUGACAAAGGUUCCCUUUUGGCGAUACAUAGCCAUGCGAGACAACAUAGCCAUGAAACAAACCAAGUCCACCAGUGGCUUCCUAGGAACACAUUUGCUUUCCUGAUAAAAGAGGACAGAUGCAGUUGCAGAAGUACCUGUGCCUCUUUUUCUUUUUCUUCUUCUUUUUCUUUUUUAAUCUCUUAAAUGCAGAUAUAAGAACUGGUACUGAAGCAGCCAUCUUGUGACCAUAAGGAAGAAGCCAAGAACAUCAGAACCAGUGGCCUAGCCAUUGCACAGUCAUCUAAACACACCUCUGGACUUGUU
rnacentral:lncRNA from 10 species